GAUCUGAUAGCAUAACUGGUUAGUGCACCUGCUCAGCAUGUAUUUUAUACAAGACGAACGUUUCAGGCAGCAGAUCCCCGUUCGAUCCGGGGUCAGGUUG